CGAGAACUCGGCGCUGGGACCCCCUCCCUUGUGUCACUUCGAAGGGGUGACGGGCGAGGCCCGGAGGGUUCCUCAGAGCAGAGGGAGGAGGCGGCUGUGGGACGAACAGCGCCGGGCGGCCCCCUCCGCACACAGAAACCUAAACCUCUGGACCCACGUUUAUUAGGGGUUGAGCCUAUUUCCUGACUCCACCUGUUUCCCCCCAGACGCAUCUUCCUCCCACGUGGGCAGAGGCAGGUCAGGCGUGGGGUCGUAAGAGGAGCAUCAAAGGAUCAGGACCCUCUGAGUGACUCUCUCUGCUUGGAAUUGCUUCCAUAUCACGGUGCCUCGGAAGAAAGCAUCAGCUGAUUCCGGUUCCUCUGAGACCUUUCAGGGUAAUCUUAGAGGCGUGCAAACCACAGGGGAAAAGCAGAACAUGAAAGCAAAAUUAAUAUUAGGAUUUGCAAGCGGCGGUGAGGGCUUGUGAGAAAGCCCACUGAGGAGAACAGAGACACAAGCUCCCAACCGCAGGGCUGGUCCGGGGCUCCCAGCAGGCCAGCAGGACGGAAGGGACUCACUUCUCAGCGUUGUUGGAACCGUAGGGAAAGAGGAGGCUUCUUCCCCCUGAGGAUGCCAGUGCCGGGCUCUGAGGAUGCGGGGGCUAGAGGGCCAUCGCACGAGGAUCUGCUGGAGGAUGAGGCCAGCCUCGAGGAAGGAGGGCAUGGGUUGCAGGAUUCCUCAGGACUUCGUGUGAGCGCCUGACUUUUCAGUUACCCAGUGGAUAGAUUCCCUUUGUGGCUGAAGCCAGUUUGGGCUGGGUUUCUGACAUUUACAAUGGACAGAGUCUUGGUCAAUAGACAUUCAUGAUACGUCAUGGAGUGAAAAGGCAGGUUUCAAAACAUUAUGUUCCAUCUUAGUUUUUAAAAGCAUACCGUAUACUUAUUUAUAGACACAAAAAGUCUUGGAAAGAGACAUCAUGAUGUAUGUUAUCUCUAGCUGGAGGAAUGACAAGUGAUUUUUCUUUUCUUCUGUUAAUUUUCUAAUUUUAAGUAAGACAGGCAUGCCUUAUUUGUGUAAUGAAAAAGCGUUUUUAUUUAAGGAGAUGAAUUACAGGAAGAAAAGCAGACAUCAGGGCUCUGGGAUCAGUAGCUUCUAGUCUCAAGAGCUGCUGUGAUGCUGGACGUCUGAGAGGUGCAGCCCUUGGCCAUCCUGAACCACUUUGUAAGGGCUAGUUCGUCUUCUAUGACCUCUCAGCCUUGUUCCUUUUCCUGUAAUAAUGCUUACCAUGGUGGGAGUUCAUUCAUUCAUUCAUUCAUUCACUCUGUAAGCGCCGCUACUCUAGUGUUAAAGAUGUCAAGAUGAAUGACACAGGGUCUCAGUCCUCCUUUGCUGGGAGCAGAUGCUCUACAGCAUGGAAUUCUCUGCAGAAGGAUCUGCUGCAUCUCUGCUCCUCUCUGUUCCUUCCUGACCCCCCAGGCCCUCUGAGGGACCCUGCCAAAGGACAGGUCUGGGGCUGAUGUUGCCAAACCUCUGCUGGACCCAGGACCACCUGCUAGGCCUUGCGCUGCACGCGCACACGGGGAUCCCGCCAGGACUGGAGUGGGAGCCCCGGGGGGGAGGGGCUGUGGGCCAGGCCACGGGAUGAUAGAGGUUCUUUUCUCUUUCGUCCUUGUCAUCUACCAGGAGCCAGAGAAAGCCUCUCACCAUCUGCCCGAAACUCAGGAACGGCUCCUGCCCUUCCCAACUCCUGCCUGGAAGAUGAGGGGACACAAUUUCCUCCUUCCGGAGGGCAGGUAGCCUCCUAGAUCAGAGACCCUCCACACCUUAGGUUUUCAGAUUGCUGGGCUGUAGUCGUCGUCAUUAUUUUUUAACAGAUUUAUUGAGGCACGUUUUACAUACAUGAAAUUUCCUCCGUUUUAGGUGUACGUACAGUUCAGUGAUUUUCAGUAAAUUUACAGGGGCUGUGCAACCACUCACACCAUCCGGUUUGGGAACAUUGCUGUCACCCCAGAAAGAUCUGUCUCGGGCACCCAUUUGCAUUUGCUGCCUGUUCCCGCCCCCAGCCCCAGGCAGCCACUGAUCUGUCUCUGUAGGAUUGCUUCUCUCUGGACGUGUCAUCUAAAUAGAAUCGUACAACAGGUGCCUUUUGCUUCCGGCUUCUUUCGCUCAAUUUCAUGUUUCUGAGGUUCAUCCGUGUGGUAAGAGCAUCAGUCCUCCAUUCCUUUUGUAUUACUGCAUGGUGUUCUAUUGUAUGGACAAGUCACGUUGUUUAUCCAUUCAUCAGUUGCUGGACAUUUGGGUUGUUCCCACUUUUUGGCUGUUGCGAAUAAUGCCGUUAUGGACUUUUACGUACACGUCUUUAUGCGAACACACGUUUUUAUUUUUCUUGAAUUCGUAGGGGUGAAAUUGCUGGGUCUUAUGUAAAUUGACCUCUAGCUUAAGGAACUGUCAAACUGUUCCAAAGUGGUUGUACCGUUUUACAUUCCCCUCAGAAAUUACAAGGAUUCCAGUUUCUCCACGUCCUUGCCAACACUCAUUAUAUUGGUUCUAGUGGCUGUAAAGUGGCAUUUCAUUGUGAUCUUAAAGUGCUUUUUCCUCA